rnacentral:rRNA from 1 species
AUAAGUCGACCUGAUGGGAUCAACAUCCCCGACGGCAAGUUCUACCUUGGAGAUGCUGGCUAUGCAUGUCGGCCGGGUAUUCUUCCACCCUUCAGAAAAACCAGGUACCAUCUCAACGAGUUCUCUGGUAGGAACUAUCCUAGGACUGCACAUGAGCUGUUUAAUCUCAGACACUCCAGCCUUAGAGUAACUGUUGAGAGAGCAUUUGGAGCUCUGAAGAAUAGGUUUAAGAUCCUGGAUCAGAAGCCAUUCCACCCAUACUCCACUCAGAUUAAGCUUGUUCUUGCUUGUUGCAUUCUGCAUAACUGGAUCCUCCAGUCGGGCUUUGAUGAACACGUGCCUGAGGAGGAAGAGGUCGAGCCUGACGAUGUUGUUAGCUCCGGCCAUGGUGUGGAGGCAUUUGACAAUGACGCUUGGAAGAACAAAAGGUUGAAGUGGGCAGAGGCAAUGUGGCUUAACAGAGGUCAGUGCAGGAUUUGA